AAUUCCCAACUUACAUUUACCUGAAAGCCAAAAAAUGAAUAAUAGCCUCUCGUUCCCCUUUCGUAAAGCCCAGUAAAUCUGCCACCUUCCUGCAUUUUUAUUUUUCUUGUCGGCACUUUUUCCUUUAUUGUGUGAAACAAUAUAAUGAGAGAAAUACUGAAUGGGGACUCAAAGCUCCCUGGGGUAAUGACAUUGACAUUAACCACUGUGUCACACACUUGACAUUUUUAAAUUUCCGAGGCUCCAUUCCUUUAUUGUAAUGAUAUGUUCACACUGCACACUUUAGAUGUGGAAUAAAACUUAAUGGCAUUGUGUGGAUAGCUGGGAACAGAGGUGACUAUGGUCUUUACCCUGAGACACACGGCUGGGAAAUGGGAUGUUAUAGUUUGUCAGUGGCAGGUGGCAAUUAGGUAAGGUAGUCUCCAAAAGAUAGGCACACAAAACCGAGCUUCCUGGCAUUUACGGUGGCAUGGCUUGGCUUCCGUUUCUCUCUUAGGAAUCAGCAAUGGCGAUGGAGUACUCUCUAUUUUUUCCCCUAUGACUUGCUCAGUGUCUGGUGGGGAAGGUCAAGUCCAUAGGCAAUUACAGUUCAAUGUAAAUAUAUCCAAAAGAGGAGAGAGAUAGCAGACACUAGAUUAGUACGACAGAGGGAACAACACAGGAGAGAGACGAGGGAAGAUUGAUGUUCAUGAAUAUGGAAAAGUGCUCUGUGGGUAGAAAGACAAGCCUUUUUCUAAGCUCAACGCCAGAGAGAAGUGGGAUGAGGGGACAGGGAAACACAAGAAGGAACUUGUAGGUCACCAAGAUACUGGGCUCUAUCCUGAGACAGUGGGCGUCUAAAUAAGGUCAAUUCUAUGAGUCCUUGCCUUAAGCCCAGGAAAGCCAUAGACUAGCUGUAAUAGCCUCUUGAGUCUCAGUGCAAGGUACGUAGUUUUUCUCCUGCCCAUUUUACUGUACCAGUUAGGAGCCUUCCCAUCCUCGGCCUCCCAGGAAGCACCUAUAUUUUGGAGACCUUUCUUUAGUUUUCCUUGCUGCCAUAGUUUGAGGAAUUUCUCCUACAGGCCUAUGUGUUAAACAUUUGAUUCAUAAUUUGAUGUCAUUAGAAGAUGUUGGAAUCUGUAGGAGAUGGGGUCUAGUGGAAGUUCUUACAUCUCUAUGGGCACGUCCUCUAUGAGUACUACAGAAAGUGACUCUUCCCUCUUCCUCCCCCUCCUCUUUAUCUUCUUAUCAGAUGCACCGAUGUGAUGUGUACUCAUGCCAUUAGAUAUUGCCUGGUCACAUACCCCAAACUAGUUAAACAAAAUAACCACAGACUAGAACGUCUGAAACCAUAACCACAGCAAACCUUACCUCUUUGAAAAGCCGUGUGGCCCAGAUGCUUUGUCACAGUAAUAGAAUUUUACUAACAAGGCUGUUAAUUUUCUACCAUUCUCUCGAAAGAGUCAAACUAAUAAAUUACCUUCUAAUUACUAAUUACUACUAAUUACCCAGAAUAAUGGCUGAUGAGGAGCAGAUAUGCUGUCCUCUCAAGGGCUGUGAGUUUUAAAAACAAUCGGGAUUCGAUAGUGGUGAUUAUUUUUUUAAAUUCAAUUCUUUUGUGGUUUUCUAUUUACUCUUGGCUACAAGCUUCCCCCAGUUUUAAUUGAUUUAAACAAAAAAGGGAAUUUUAAUCUUUUAAAAAUUUACACAAAGUUAGGAAUGUAUUUCUCCCCCUCCCCCUUGACAGUGCUUAAGUUAAUAGAAGGAUGGAGUGGAUAAUUUCAGGUGGUGUCUUCAGAGGACGGAUAUCCACAAAGGACCAUGAAGGAAAGCUGCCUGCUAUCCUUCAACAUUCAGCCACUGAGUUCCUUUUCCCAUAUCUUCUUGAAGGGUAGGAUAGAUGUGCAAAUAACUCCAAUAGGCUUAGAGUUGAUGUCACCUCAUUGAUUACUCUGGUGUGGUUUUUAAGGAACCUUACAACACUGACUUUCCUGCAGACUCCUUUAGUAAUUUCUCUGGGGUAAUUAAACACAAAACCCACAGGUGAAGCAGCUAGGACUGUCCCCAGCAUGGACCAGGUGACCAGUAAGGAUCCCUUUUCCUUCUACAGAAAGAAAGUUUCUGGGGUACAUCAGUCCUGACUGCCUGGUGAUUUCCAAGUUAGACUUUGCCUCAAGGCCUCCAUGCUGGUUACCAGGCAUUUGCAUUGUGAUCCUGUCCUCCUCUUUCUUGUCCACUCUGAUUCAAUUCAUUUCCCCCUAUGCCCUCAAUAUGGCGAGCCCUCUUGUCUCCCUUCAGUGUCUACUCCAUAAACUACAGGUCUAUAAUUGCUAUACUUCCUUACUUCCUUACCUAUUUCCUCUUCCCUCACCAUCUGGAGUCAUCUUAAACUACUCAGUUUUCUCAUACAUGUAUACUUUCCUAAUUCUAAUGCAUAUUACCUUGCUUGUAUAUAUCUGAUUUCAUUUCUCAGAGCAUAAGCUUUCAGAGGACAGAGUUCUUUUUCCAUUUUAUUAAUGGGUAGAGUUCAGGUGGUGAGGGUUGUUUUUGGCACGGAGAAAAAGCUCCAGAAUGUCUGUUAGAUAAACAAAUGGUUAGUCAUGAGUUCUAUACUGCAGGAUGCACAACAUUUCUGAGUAUCUAGAGUAUGUUAAUAAUCAUAACGUCAACUAUCUAUCAACAUAGAGUUUCGAUGAAAAUUAAAUGAGAUAAUUGGAGGAAAAAAAACAUAUGUCUUGGUUAGUUAGUUUUUUCCAAAUUGAUACCAGCUAGAUUCAUUUGAGAAGAGGGAACAUUAACUGAAAAAAUAUUUCUACUAUUAGAUUGAUCUGUGGGGCAUUUUCUUGAUUAGUGAUUGACGUGAGAGGGCCCAGCCCAUCAUGGGUAGUGCCAUUCCUGGGUAGUUGGUCCUAGAUGGCAUAUCAAAUCAAGCUGAACAAUCCAUAGUGAGCAAUGCAGUAGGCAGCACUCCUCUGUGGCUUCUGCUUCAGUGCCUGCCUCCAGAUUCUCUCCCUGCUUGAGUUAUUGGCUUGGCUUCCCUCCAUGAUGGACUCAUACCUGGAAGUGUAAUUAAAAAGAAAUCUUUCCUUUUCCAAGUUGCUUUGGCUGUGCUGUUUAUAACAGCAAUAAAAACACUAAAUAAAAUACCAGUGAAAGUUUAUAAUACUUCAUAAAAGAAGUAAAAGCAAACUCAAGACAUCCAUUUAAGUGAGAAUCUUUUCAUGAACUUAUAAACUGUAUAUUUUCCAAAAAAUUCACAUAUGUAAGCUUUAACUAUCACUAUCACUGGCUGCAUUUGGAGUGCAUACAUAAUCAAAUAUUAUAUGGAUAGAACUCUUACCUAAUGGGAUUGAUGUACUUAUAAGAAGAGACACCUGAGAAGCACAAUCUCUACACACCAAGUUGGGGCAUGCAAAGCUAUCGCGAAAAGGCAGCUGGCUAAAGUCAAGAAGAGAAACUUCGAGCCAGACAGAGGGCUUGUGGGUAAAGCAAACACUUGCUAGGGAGGCAUUAGGAUUCAAGGCCAGACACCUCAUAAAAACAGCGACUUGAUGAUGUGUAUCUGUAACCCAGCAUUGGAGGAUGGAGACAGGCAUCCAAGGGGCUUGUUAGGUAGUCAGUCCAGUUGGAGAGUGAGCUCCAUGUUCAGUGAAGACUUUGUCUCAAAAACCAAGGUGAAGAAGAGAAGAAGACAUCUAUGGUGAUCUGAAAGUGAAAGUCCUCCGGAGGCGUCAGCAUUGGAACAUUUGGCUCCCUACUGGUAGUGUGGUUCAGCGAGGUCUACGCGUGUGAUAUUGCCAGAGGCACAGUACUCCAGGCAACAACAAGGUCUCUGAACUUGAGGCCAGUACUGUGAAUGAUCACCACUCUCUGCCAUGGCUGGGAACAGAAACACUGGAUGAAGUCAAGGAUUUAUGAUGCAUGGCCCAGAAUCUCAGAGUCCUGAGACUCUUCAUGAGCACCCUUUCCACCCCAAAGAAAGUCGUUCUGGGGACUUAUAUUGUGUUUGCCAACUUUGUGAAUGGCUCAAAUGAAACAAAUGGAGACUUUUCAGCCAACUCAAAUGGAAGGACAUUUUCAUGAACAUUGUAUAUGGGAAAUGCUCUGAAAUGGUCUUUACGAAAGACAACAGCUACCCCAAAAUCUUCUUCUAUUAAAAUAUUAAAAUAUGAACAAUUUCCUCAAUGAAAGAACAUUUUCCCUGAAUUAGAGUAAUGAGAGUAAUGUCUGAACAAUGACGGAGGGUCACUGCCCUACUUAUGCCCACUGAACUGACAACAGCUUCCUGAUAUUGGUACCAGCUCUCAAUUGCCAACUGGUGAAACACAAGUAUGAUGAGUGUGAAUAACAAAUACCAGGCUACCCUCUGAUAGAAUCUCAUGAUCUCUAUCACUAUGUAAGCUCCCCUCCUAGAAGCUUUUUUUUUUUAAGAUUGUGUCAGAGAUGCUACAAGCACUGCCUUUAUAAGAUUUCAUCUUGGAAGCCUGGAGAAAGUCGUUCUCUUCCUUCUCUUAAAGAAACAAGCUUCCAUGACAUUGCUUGUCUAUGCCAGGUCUAUCUAUGUGGAGUGGUAAGGUAGAUUUUAGCAUCUGACAGCAGCAUCCAUUAGAUAUCCAAUGAAAGGGGAUCUUUCUGCCUAGAAGUAAGUUCUGCUAAUAAGCUUUAAAAUGGACUUCUGUGGUCAAAGCUUGAGACAAGGAUCAGUUCACAGCACUCCCCAGCAGCUUAGCAAGACAUUAAGGAGUAUGGUAUUGGCACAAAACCACAUUGAUGUUCAAUGGAUGCACAUAUAAGAUUCAGACAUAAAUCCACAUACUUUUGGACACUGAUUUUUGAUAAAGAAGCCAGAUACACACACAGGAAAAAAGAUAGCAUCUUCAAUAAAUGGUGCUGAUCAAACUGAACGGUUGAAUGGAGAAGAGUCCAAGUAGAUUCAUACUUAUCACUCUGCAUGAAAUUCAACUCAAAAUGGUUCAAAGACAUCAACAUAAAACUAGAUACACUGAACCUAAUAGAAGAUAAACUGGAGAAUUAGCCUUGAACUAACUGACACAGGAAAAAUACAUCCUGAAUAGAACACUGUUAGCACAGAUGUUAAGUUCAACAAGUAAGUAGGACCUCAUGAAAUUAAAAAGCUUCUGCAUGAAAGAGGACAAUGUAAUUUGCAUAAAGAGGAAGCCACCAUAAUGGGCAAUGCUUUUUAAGCAACUACCCAUCUGAUAGAGGGCUAAUAUCCAAAAUAUAUAAAGAGUUCAAAAAACUAGAUAUCAAGAAAACAAAUAAUCCAAUUUAAAAUGGGGGAUAAAUCUAAACAGAGAAUUCUCAAAAGAGGAAACUCAAAUGGCUGAGAAACACUUAAAGGAAUGUUCAACAUCCUUAGUCAUCAGGGAAAUGCAAAUGAAAACUACUUUGAGAGAUUUUAUGCUCCACGUAUCAAAACGGCUAAAAUCAAUAAAAUGAGCGGCAGCCCAUGCUGGUGUGGAAUAAGGGAACAUUCAGCCUUUGCUGAUAGGAAUGCAAACUUGUAGAGCCGCCAUAAAAAUCACCGUGAUUGCUAUGCAUCGGUUCCUUCUGUUUUUUUCCCUUGUCCAACUUCAGUGUAUUAGUUUCUGUUUUAUUAUAUUAUUGUAAUUAUAUUAUUAUCCCUUAGAACCCAUUACAAAAACCAAAAAGUUGGGAGUUGCACUGCACAUUCAUAAUCAGAGUGUUGAGGGGGUGGAAACAAUUCCUGAGACUCAUUGGCCAGCCAGUGCAGUUGAAUCGGCGCAUGCAUGUCCUGCCCAGGUGCAUCUAGACACAGGAUGCUAUGGACAGGCACUUAUACACAAGAGAAAAGCAGCAGAGCUUCAAAGCAUCUUCAUAUACAGUUGGCCUCUAGAGACUAGACUUGAAACUUAAAUAAUUUUUAUUAAACACUUCUAAGUACUGGACAUUUGAUUUGCCUUAACACUAAGCAGCCCGCAAUUGUCUCUUUUUCUGUAGUUUCCUCCUUUCUAUCUAAGCAACCUACAAACCCACGCUGCUGAAUGAAGCAUACUCUUCCUGGACCAUGGUUUGUCAUGUGCUUGAGAAGUAUUGGUAGCCCUUCUGUAGCCUUGGAUGUCUUCCUCGGAAUAAUUAGGACUUGCCAUCUCUUUUGUGUGGGAAGAUGCUCUCUGCUUUUCUAUUCCACAUGGUUCUUUAAUGUCACAGUGAAUUUCUUCCAUAGCCUUGGUUUGUGAGUACAUAUCAUCAUCUCUAACAGGAGUCAUCAGUUCCUUGAUCAAAACUGAAUCCACAUCAUGGCACACCUGUAUACCACAGCCCAAGGCAGAAACCACCAUUGUUCAGGUUUCCUAUUCUCUGAGAGACUUAUUUUUAUUAGCCACUGACAUUCUUGUAGAUGGAAAUGGGGAGAAACUCAAGCAUAUUAGCUGAACUAUUGAAAAAUGGAUGAUACUUCUAUAGUGAUAAGAGCACGAAUGAGAAUUUAUAUUUAGUAUAGGAUUUCCUAUUUCAUCUCAAGAGACAAAGUGAAGUGUGGGGACCUGAUAUUGGCAGUGACAGGAACAGCUGCAGCUUGCUGGGGGUUGCACUUUUGUUUAGAUCAGGUAAAACUACUCCAGGAAGCUGGAAGUCUCAGUGGCAGACAGGCUGUCAUGCUUGGAUUCCUGUUACAACCCUAGUUGGGAAGCUCCUGGAAUGGUAGGGUCUAGGAGGCUCCUCAAAGCAUCAGGCAAAAGUACACUGUAGGCUCCCUGAAGGCAUGCAUGUGUAGAGACAGCCACUCAGGAUGACCUCUAAGGACCCCUGCUGGCUUGCAAAUCAAAGGUCCUGCCAGCAGCUCAGCCUGGUAAGCAAGAUCAGGGCAACUUGGUUUACAGGAAGGACCAUUCUGAACCAAUGUCAUUGAUAGACUGAAGGCAUAAGCAAAUUUCUCUGCUUGAAAAAGCUUCAUUUUUGUUUUGUAUUUGGUGAACCACAAAUAAUACUCAAAUGUGGCUGUGGAUAUUUUUCUUGCCAAUGGAUCAAUCACUUAUACUUUAAAGAUGUAAUUCUCAAAAGAAACCCAUUAAUUAUAUAAAUACUAAAAUUCUGUUAGUGUACAUUGGACUGAAUUUUUCCCUAUAGUGAUCAAGUUUAUUUGAUUAUCUGACAAUGGUGAUGUGCUAAGGAGAAAGGUCAGAGAUACCAUGAUUAUGACUGCCAUCAGCUUCUCAAUGUUUUUCUCAGAAUUCAGUACCUUGUGCAAAUAUUACAUAUAAAUCUGGAACUGGGGAGAUGGAUCCAUGGAUAAAGUGCUUGCUGCACCAUCAUGAAGACAUGGGUUUGGAUCCCCAAUCCCACUUAAAACCAGAGAUGCAUGUGCAUGCAUGCCUGUAACCCGAGUUAGGGAGUUGAGACAAGCUGAUCUCAGGGGCGUGGUGCCUGGACAGGUUAACCAAAGUGACAGGGUUCAGGUUCAAUGUGGAUACUCUAGACUCAGAGCAGAGCAGAGCAGAGCAGAGGAGAGCAGAGGAGAGGAGAGGAGAGGAGAGGAGAGGAGAGGAGAGGAGAGCAGAGCAGAGCAGAGGAGAGGAGAGGAGAGGAGAGCAGAGCAGAGGAGAGCAGAGCAGAGGAGAGGAGAGGAGAGGAGAGGAGAGCAGAGCAGAGGAGAGGAGAGGAGAGGAGAGAAGAGAAGAGAAGAGAAGAGAAGAGAAGAGAAGAAAAGAAAA